AGAAUAUUCCGCAAUGGGCGAAAGCCUGACGGAGCGACGCCGCGUGCGCGAUGGAGGCCGGAAGGUUGUAAAGCGCUUUUAUGGCGGAGGAAGGAACGGGGGAGGAAACGCCCCCGCGGCGACGGUACGCCAUGAAUAAGGGGCGGCUAAUUACGUGCCAGCAGCCGCGGUAACACGUAAGCCCCGAGCGUUGUUCGGAAUUAUUGGGCGUAAAGGGCGCGCAGGCGGCCGAGCAAGUCUGGGGUGAAAUCCCGGGGCCCAACCCCGGAACUGCCUUGGAAACUGCCCGGCUGGAGUCGCCGAAGGGAAGCCGGAAUUCCUGGUGUAGGGGUGAAAUCUGUAGAUAUCAGGAAGAACACCGAUGGCGAAGGCAGGCUUCCGGCGGACGACUGACGCUGAGGCGCGAAGGCGCGGGGAGCAAACA
rnacentral:rRNA from 1 species